rnacentral:tRNA from 1 species
GCCCCGAUCGUCUAGCCCGGUCAAGGACGCUACCUUCUCACGGUAGCGACGGGGGUUCGAAUCCCCCUCGGGGCA